AGUUGUGUAAGCAUUUCUCAAAGAGGAACUGAGACCCAGAUGCUUCUGGAAUUUUGAGUUCCUUUGGAGCCUGGAGUUAAUGAAGAGAGUGGCAUUUGAGUCUUUUCCCCCUAUCCAACUCCCACAGCCCAUGAGGAGGAAGAAAUGAGGUGGACACUGGAUGGUCCCACAGAGGGAUGUUGACUGUAUCCUUUUCCCUCCAUAUUUAGUGAAGUUGCUGUGCAGGUGUCCGAUUUCUGGGUCCAGCUUUCCUCUCCUGUCUGUUUCUUAGCCAACUUGCCUUCUGCUUUACAUAAGCUGCACCCGUGCCCUGCUUCCCUCCCAGCUGCAGUCCUACUGCUUUGGUAUGGCCUCUGUCAGAAUUCAGACAUCAAGAAGCACUUCUUUCAA